rnacentral:lncRNA from 1 species
AGGCCACUUACCUUGAGUUCCUGCUUCCGGUCAUCCCUUGGGCUGAGGUCUGAAGCAAUGAUGAAGGUCUUAGGCAUGCUAGGAGGGCUCUUCAUGCUUUUCCAGUUGAAGCAUGUUCAUGCCAACUGAACAACCAUCAGGUAUUUUCAUUGAAACUGCAAUCAUAUAUAAUUCCGGGUAUUUAUAUCUUCCUCCGGUCUACCUCCCCGUAACAUGCUUUGUUCCAAGAAGGGUGCCAAUGAGCUUUAUAGUAAGACCCAAAGAUCCUAGCUUUAAACAAGAGGGAGCAGGACAGAUGUCGUCGCUGUCAGGUGAAAUGGAAUACCCAGGAAGACUUCUAGGUGCAUUGUCGCGGGGCAGUUGUCCCUUGCUGGGCCAUAGAAAUUUUACUACUUCCUACUACGUGGAGGCAUUUAAACUCUAAUUCUGGGGCCAUGAAGUGGUCUUAGCAACCCUGGCUGCGUCAAGUUUUCACUGCUCCUCAGAUGUUGGACAAAUGUCUACAGGGAUCACCUCUGAGCACUUUUAGAAUGACCUUUUAAAAUGAAAACUUGGUCUUCCAUCUGUAUUUAUGAAGUCUUUGUGGGGAGGACUCCUCCAGAUUUUAAAUUUGUGAUAAAGGCAAUUUUAUGGAAAUAAACGUUUGCCAUUCUCAGCGGGUAUUUGUACUGUUUGAAGACACCUCAGUCCCUCGUCACAGGGCCUCAUAUUGCAGGGGUGACUGGGCUUGGUCCUCCACAUGGCUCAGGGUGGCAGCCGGGAAGCUGGCGUACUGUGAUCGCAUUUUUCAGUUGACCCCUAUUUUACUUUCUUCAAAUGAUAUGUGGGAAAGAAAAUGCAAGCAGAACUUCCCUUUCAAUAUUUUAUUUUUAUUCUCAGG